rnacentral:lncRNA from 1 species
GCAUGUUCAUGCCCACAGCCUGGUACCAAUCUCCCCAUGGUCUUUAAAUCUAUCUUUCAACACUCUCAGGAGGAACAUAGAGGAAAUGUGGUAUCUUAAAGAGCUGUCAUUCUCUUCCAAGCUGAAACUCAAGAGGCUUAGAAGUAUACCUGCAUCUACAGUAUACCUGCAUCUACAAGCCUUCUAUGGAGAGUUGUUCAGUCACUGACCAUGGGUCAUGUGCAAGGAGGUGGGUAUUCCUGUUAUGGCAUCUGUGUCCUCUCCUGGCCAGCCCAAGUGUGGGAUCUUUAUUGUUUGAAGACAAGUAGAUGGCAUGUGAGAGCGACAGAUCACCAGACUGGGAAGAGGUUAUGCAGGAUGUACCAGUUGUGAGAACUAGGCACCCAGUAAUCAGCUACAAUGGAUACUUCUUGGCUGUUUCUUUAAUAACAGAUGGCACAGGGACAGGAUCUUGAGGGAGGGGAGGAAGUUUGCUGGUAAUUCUGGUACAGUACUGCCAUCAAGAGGAACAUGUAUGGCAAUCACAAUCACCCUUCCCUGUGGUUGCUUGGGGAGGAGUGGCUUGGUAGUACUGUCAGGAUUCAGGCAAGACUAGGAGCUCUGCCCAUAUAAGCUAUCCAGAGGCAUGCGGGAAGCAUGGCUCAUGACCUGUUCAGGUUCUGGAAACUCCAGGGACAGGUGUCAAAAAGAGCUGGACAUCCAGGACACCUGGCGGGUCCCAUACAGAAAGCUGUGGCUCAAGAGGCUGGUGGCAGCCAUGUCUGGGCAAGACUAGCAAAGGCCUCCACCAGGGAGCCCCAUCUCAAGGCCAUGGGCAUUUUGCCUGGUUCCCUUUCCCCUGGGAACAAUGGGUGGGAAGGCCUAGGUGGGUCCCAGGCCCUGAGAGACUCCCUUGGCCAUAGUGCACCCUAGUGAAAGAUCACUCCCAGCACUGUAAUUCUUUGGCUAUUGGUGCCUGAGAUGGCCAGUGCUGGGAUGGUCCACCAUCUUAAAGAAGAAGAUGUGCUGUCUGGGGCCCUGUGGGGCCUAAACCCAGACUUUACUAGAUGAGAUUGAGGCAACACCAGGCCUGGCCACCAUGAGAUACUAUGCACCCCUGAGGACCUCAUUUGUUGUGUCUAUGUCUCAAAGGAUCAGAUGGUUGUCUUGGAACCUGUGCUCGUUUCUGUUUUGGAACCUUCCAAGGCUCCCUCCUGUUCUUUGGGGAGUUCCCAGGUCCUUGCCAUGUUUAGGUUUAAACUGGGAGGGAAGAGAGUCUUCCUUGGCCUUCUGAAGUCCAGGAAGCCAAGAGCAUGCAGAAGGAAGAACCAAUUGGGCUUCUUGUGGAGAGAGCCUGCUACAUGCCAGAAAGGACUGCUGGGGUACACUCAGAAAACGCUGUAAAUGGUGCUAUGACCUGGCACAUUAACCCAGA